GCCACUAUGCCCGGCUAAUUUUUGUGUUUUUAGUAAAGACGGGGUUUCACCAUGUCGGCCAGGCUGUUCUCGAACUCCUGACCUCGUGAUCCCUCCGUCUCGGCUUCCCAAAGUGCUGGGAUUACGGGCGUGAGCCACCGUGCCCGGCCGCAGCCUUGUUUUGACUGAGUCAGUGGGAGCCAUUACUGUUCCUAAAUGUAAACUGGCGUGACAGGAGUUCCGGGAUUGUCCACAGCACGGUGAUGUGGAAGCCCUGGGGAGAGAAUGAUAAAGAAAGGGGAUGAGGAACAGCUCCACCCGGAAGAGCGGGCUUCCCUAGCAAAUGAAUCUGGAAGGGCGCAGGGGAGGGGGCACGGCGAGUUCAGAUGGACCGAGGCUGGAAGCUGACGCGGUUGGAGGGGGAUGGGUGUAGCUGUUGGCAGUGGCGCUGGGGUGGAAGUGUGUGGGGUCACAGAUGUGUAAGGGUGGGCGCGGAGCAGACCCCCGAAGGUCCCUGAGGUCAGGCUGAGGCAUUGGACCAAAUCCGUACAUAGGCAUUUCUCUGAACUGCGCGCCACCUUUUGAGUGCCAUCUGUUUCCGUCCAGGACUCUGAUACAACUAUCCAGUCCGCUGCAGGGACCGGUCACUGUGUCACAGGAUGGUGGCAGCUCACAGCCUCAGGAGAAGUGUU
rnacentral:lncRNA from 10 species